UCACUCCCAUUAAGUCUCAGGAUGAAUCUGUUAAUACCCCGUUCUCUUUUGCUUUUUAGAUGGACUUUUGCCAAAAAAAGUCCGUUUCUCUUAAAAGCAAUAAAGAACAGCCUCCAUUCCAGAAAAAUUUUCAUCAUCUGAAAAGUCCUUUUUGGCAAAUGGAGAAGUUAAAAAAUUGAACUUUUCUUCAGCCAAAAGUGCUUUUGGCUGAUAAUUUCCAUUUUUAACCUGUCUUCUCCCCCAAACGUUAUUUCCUCUGGUUCUUUGCAGGUAUCAAGUUCUUUUCCUUUGGUUCUUUGUUCCUCUUCUGCCGGUGAUUAGUGAUUUACAUCGCAAACCUGUUGCUCGCUUGUUCGAAGUUUGACAAGUUUAAGGGAAGAAAUAAGAAAGUUGCUCCAUACUUCUCGAAAAACUUCGUUAUGGUAAUCUUGCUGGUGUUUUUUUUGGAUGGAUAUAAAUUGUUUUUGUAUAUCUAUGUAUUGUCUCUUUUAUCUUGUUGGUUUCGUGUGAAAUCUGGUUUAUGGUUUGAUUGAAAUUGGAGAUGACUUUUGAUUUUUUAUUUGAAUUAAUGAAGCAAUGAUUAAUCCAUCGAGGAAGAGAAAACAUG